GCGGUCGUGGCGAAGUGGUUAACGCACCGGAUUGUGGCUCCGGCACUCGUGGGUUCGAUUCCCACCGGUCGCC
rnacentral:tRNA from 2 species